rnacentral:rRNA from 1 species
CCUACGGGAGGCAGCAGUGAGGAAUAUUGGUCAAUGGGCGCGAGCCUGAACCAGCCAAGUCGCGUGAGGGAAGACGGUCCUAUGGAUUGUAAACCUCUUUUGUCGGGGAGCAAAAGCCGCCACGCGUCCCCUUCUGAGAGUACCCGAAGAAAAAGCAUCGGCUAACUCCGUGCCAGCAGCCGCGGUAAUACGGAGGAUGCGAGCGUUAUCCGGAUUUAUUGGGUUUAAAGGGUGCGCAGGCGGGAGAUCAAGUCAGCGGUAAAAUUGAGGGGCUCAACCUCUUCGAGCCGUUGAAACUGGUGUUCUUGAGUGGGCGAGAAGUAUGCGGAAUGCGUGGUGUAGCGGUGAAAUGCAUAGAUAUCACGCAGAACUCCGAUUGCGAAGGCAGCAUACCGGCGCUCAACUGACGCUGAGGCACGAAAGUGUGGGUAUCGAACAGGAGUAGAUACCCUUGUAGUC